CUCCAAGUUCUAUCUUUGCUGAGUCUCAGUUUUGCACUUGAGAAGUCCUAGUUCCUUUCCUAUGGUUAGAGCUUUUGCCAAAUUCUGGUAAUACUUUCCACCUUACACAUCUGACCUAGAGUGGUAAUGGCUCCCUGUGGUCACCAGUCCCAGGGUGGGUCACUAAUAAGUUUCCUUUCCAUUCUAACCACCUGAGGAAAACUCUCUACAUUUUCCUCUUUUCAGUCUAUCAUUUGUGUUUCUUGGUGAGACCUCAACAUAUACAAUGACAGAUGAUGACAGCAAUGGUGACAGUGGUGUUAGACUCCAGUAGAGAGUUCAAGAAUCCUAAUGAGCAACUCAUGCAGAAAUGCUCCAGAAUUGUGACACAGACAGGCAUGAUGCCUUUCGUACUGCUUAUCAACUCCUGUGUAACAAGUUACCCAAAACUCAGUGGCUUUAAACAACAGUAAUGAUUUAUUGUUUCUCAUCCUUUUGCACAUCAAGGGUUUGAUACGGCACAGCAGGAUGGCUUGUUUCUACCCCAUCUUGUCUAUGGUCUUCUAUGGAAGGCUUUGAGUUCCAGCUGAUUCUGGCUGAAGGUUUUGUGAAAAAAAAAAAAAAGGCUGAGCAUUUAGAGACACAGAGAGAAUUUUCUGAUCCAGGCUGAAGCCAUACUGCCUCCUAAAACCUAUCCUUGGAAGUCAUGCAGGGUCAUUUCCAUCGUGUUUACUGUUUUAGGCAGUUGUAAAGGGCCAGUCAGGUUCAAGGGGAGGGUAUGUAGGUCCCACCUCUUGAUGGAGACUAUUGGAUGGCAUAUUGUAUGAUAUGGGCCACAUCGAGAUCUCUACAUGAAUCUUCAUGUGUCACCCCCCUUUUUUCCCAUGCAAUGACAAUCAUGGGAAGAAACAUGCUGAAGAUAACAGUUCCUCAAACAUCAAGGAACCUGAACCUCUAAGUCAUCACUUGGAAGAUAGCCUCUGACUCCAUAUUUGACCUAUAUUUGUAUAAAAAUAAAACUCCUGGGGUAUCAAUCCUGAGAUUUAGUGAUUGCUAAAAGAAUGGAAAUUCACCCAUGUCCCUAAACUUCAUCUGAGCCUGUGUCUCUCUCUCCCUGUAUUAACAGCACAUCUAUCAUGACUGUUAAGGACUGGCUAAUUUCAUCUUUCUUCCUAUAAACCCCAUACUUCUCUCCGCCCCAGGUAUUAGUAAGCAGUGGGAUGACUAUGGGAAAGAGAAGAAAAUCAUGGGGGCUGACCAACAGGAUAACUGUAUGCAAUUAAAAAGGUUUGGCCCAACCAAACAGUGGAAAAGGGAAAGCGUUAACACAAAUGCAGUUCAGUCCUUGUCUGACGGAUCACAGGGAAGAUGGAGAUGGUUGUGCUGGAAGUGAUUGGCAGGUAUGUGUCUGCAGCAGCCUAACCCCACCAUGGAAGACUUGUCUGAAGGAGGAAGUCAGUUUGAUGUCCAUCCCAAUAAAAAUUCUGGGAAAAACAUCUGUCAGGUGAUAUUUAGAGCUGACAUUUUCAUAAGGAUCCAGUCUGUAGAGGGUUUCGCGGGGCUUGGAAAAAACAUGUUUUUCUUUCUUUUUUUUUCUCCUCCUCACCUCCUGUAAUUAAACAAUGCUCACAGUAUUAAACGUAUGUGUACAGUAUGACAAUUUAAAAAAGAUUUUUAUUUCAAAAUAAUUUCAAUACAAUGAUUUCAGUAAUACCAGUUUAAUCAUAAUAAUUUAAUACAUAGUAUUUCCUUCCUGAAGCAUUGGACAGUAAGUCACACACAUCAUAGCUCUGAACCCCUGAAUACCUCAGGGCAUAUUUCCAAAAGAUAGCAAUAAUUUUAUAUAACCACAGAAAAAUGGUCAACCUCAGCACACUUAUCGUCAAUAUUUUUUUCUAAUCCCCCAUCAGCAUUCUGAUUGCAUCCAUAAUUUGACUCAAUCAUGUUCUACUUGGAUCUCCACACCAGUGCUUAUCAUGUCUUGUGAUUGCCCCUUAGCCUGGAACAUUUACAUCCCCACACCUUUUUUUUUUUAAUUUAUGAUACUGACAGUUUUGAGGAAUUGAAUCAUUUUAAAACCAGCAUGUUCCUUACAUUCAUCCUUUCCAUUUCCUCACACUAAAUGCCCAUCAAAAUCCAUAUCAGAGGCAACUAACUAGUUAAUUGGUAGAAUGGUUAUAAAUAGGUUAUCUACCUAAUUAUCACCUUGUUCUUUCCUCUAUAAUUGAUUGCAGCAUACUAAAAUAUGCUUUUUACUGAGGUAUAAUUUAUGUCCAUUAAAGUUUGUUCUUUUUAUUGAACAGUUUCAUGAGUUUUAGUAAUGUAUUUAGUCAUGUAACCAACACCAGAAUCAAGGUUCGGGAGAAUUCCACCCUCAAAAAUGUUACCUUGUGUCCUCUACUCUUUAAUAGUCAAGCCUUUCCUUCUGGUUCUUGGCAAUCACUGAGCUAUUUUAUAUUUACAUAAUUUGGCCUUUUCUUUUCCAUAUAAAUAGAAUUAUAUUUAUAAGGCCUUUCUGUGUCUGGUUCUUUACCUUAGUGUGUGUGUGUGUGUGUGUGUGUGUGUAUGUGUGUGUAUAUAUAUAUAUAUUUGAAGUUAAUGCAUGUAAUCAGAUGUAAUAUUUAUUGCUGUAUAGUAUUCCGUUGUAGGAAUAUGCCACAGAAUGUAUGUCUAUUUGUCAUUUCAAGGACAUAUAUAUAUAUUGUUUUCAGUUUUGGUGAUUAUGAAUAGAGCCAUUAUAAACAUUCAUAUUCAGGUUUUUGUGGGAACUUAUG
rnacentral:lncRNA from 1 species